rnacentral:rRNA from 1 species
GAUUCUGGCUCAGGACGAACGCUGACGGCGUGCUUAACACAUGCAAGUCGAACGGGAGUAUUGAAGAAGCUUGCUUAGAGAUACUUAGUGGCGGACGGGUGAGUAACGCGUGAGGAGCUGUCCUAUGCAGGGGGACAACAGCUGGAAACGGCUGCUAAUACCCCAUAAGCCGAGAGGUAAAAGGAUCAAUCCGGCAGAGGAGGUACUCGCGUCCUAUCAGCUAGUAGGUGAGGUAACGGCUCGCCUAGGCGAAGACGGGUAGCCGGCCUGAGAGGGCGAACGGCCACACUGGAACUGAGAUACGGUCCAGACUCCUACGGGAGGCAGCAGUGGGGAAUAUUGGGCAAUGGGGGAAACCCUGACCCAGCGACGCCGCGUGGGUGAAGAAAUCCUUCGGGAUGUAAAGCCCUGUUGUAUGGGAAGAGCGGAAGACGGUACCAUACGAGGAAGCCCCGGCAAACUACGUGCCAGCCGCUGC